rnacentral:rRNA from 1 species
GGGCUCACACAAGCGGUGGAGGAUGUGGCUUAAUUCGAGGCUACGCGAAGAACCUUAUCCUAGUCUUGACAUGCACGGAUCAACCCCAUGAAAGUGGGGCCACAGCCGCAAGGUCGGAACGUGCACAGGUGCUGCAUGGCUGUCGUCAGCUCGUGUCGUGAGAUGUCGCGUUAAGUCGCUUAACGAGCGAAACCCCUGUCCCUAGUUGCCAGCGGGGAUUCGUCUGCCGGGGACUCUAGGGAGACUGCCGGUGUUAAACCGGAGGAAGGUGGGGAUGACGUCAAGUCCUCAUGGCCUUUAUGACUAGGGCUGCACACGUCCUACAAUGGCGCGCACAAAGGGAUGCAAAGCCGCGAGGUAGAGCAAAUCCCAAAAAACGCGCCUCAGUUCGGAUUGCAGGCUGCAACUCGCCUGCAUGAAGCCGGAAUCGCUAGUAAUCGCGGGUCAGCAUACCGCGGUGAAUGUGUUCCUGAGCCUU